AGAGUUUGAUCCUGGCUCAGAUUGAACGCUGGCGGAAUGCUUUACACAUGCAAGUCGAACGGCAGCACGGGGGCAACCCUGGUGGCGAGUGGCGAACGGGUGAGUAAUACAUCGGAACGUGCCCAGUCGUGGGGGAUAACGCAGCGAAAGCUGUGCUAAUACCGCAUACGAUCUACGGAUGAAAGCGGGGGAUCGCAAGACCUCGCGCGAUUGGAGCGGCCGAUGGCAGAUUAGGUAGUUGGUGGGGUAAAGGCUCACCAAGCCGACGAUCUGUAGCUGGUCUGAGAGGACGACCAGCCACACUGGGACUGAGACACGGCCCAGACUCCUACGGGAGGCAGCAGUGGGGAAUUUUGGACAAUGGGCGCAAGCCUGAUCCAGCCAUUCCGCGUGCAGGAUGAAGGCCCUCGGGUUGUAAACUGCUUUUGUACGGAACGAAAAGGCUUUCUCUAAUACAGAGAGCUCAUGACGGUACCGUAAGAAUAAGCACCGGCUAACUACGUGCCAGCAGCCGCGGUAAUACGUAGGGUGCAAGCGUUAAUCGGAAUUACUGGGCGUAAAGCGUGCGCAGGCGGUGAUGUAAGACAGAUGUGAAAUCCCCGGGCUCAACCUGGGAACUGCAUUUGUGACUGCAUCGCUGGAGUGCGGCAGAGGGGGAUGGAAUUCCGCGUAGCAGUGAAAUGCGUAGAUAUGCGGAGGAACACCGAUGGCGAAGGCAAUCCCCUGGGCCUGCACUGACGCUCAUGCACGAAAGCGUGGGGAGCAAACAGGAUUAGAUACCCUAGUAGUCC
rnacentral:rRNA from 1 species